ensembl:snRNA U6 U6 spliceosomal RNA
GUGCUCGCUUUGGCAUCAUGUAUACUAAAACUGGAAAUGAUACAGAGAAGAUUAGCAUGGGCCCUGUGUAAAUUCCUGAUGCAUUCCAUAUUUGU